AACGAACGCUGGCGGCAUGCCUAACACAUGCAAGUCGAACGAGACCUUCGGGUCUAGUGGCGCACGGGUGCGUAACGCGUGGGAACCUGCCCUUAGGUUCGGAAUAACUCCCCGAAAGGGGUGCUAAUACCGGAUAAUGUCUUCGGACCAAAGAUUUAUCGCCUUUGGAUGGGCCCGCGUUGGAUUAGCUAGUUGGUAGGGUAAAAGCCUACCAAGGCGACGAUCCAUAGCUGGUCUGAGAGGAUGAUCAGCCACACUGGGACUGAGACACGGCCCAGACUCCUACGGGAGGCAGCAGUGGGGAAUAGUGGACAAUGGGCGAAAGCCUGAUCCAGCAAUGCCGCGUGAGUGAUGAAGGCCUUAGGGUUGUAAAGCGCUUUUACCCGGGAUGAUAAUGACAGUACCGGGAGAAUAAGCUCCGGCUAACUCCGUG
rnacentral:rRNA from 1 species